rnacentral:misc_RNA from 1 species
GAUGAAGAACUCAGCGAACGUGCGAAACGUAAUGUGAAUUGCAGAAUUCAGUGAAUCAUCGAAUCUUUGAACGCAUCUUGCGCUCCUUGGUAUUCCGAGGAGCAUGCCUGUUUGAGUGUCGUGAAUACUCUCAACUUCAACCCUUUUUUCGGAAAGGGAGGAAGGUUGGACUUGGGUGUUUGUUGAAGUGCGAGCUUCGACUCAUCCUAAAUGCAUUAGCGAUCUGCCUCGAUCACACACAAUGUGAUAAUUAAAACUAAAGCAUUGUUUAAUGAUCAAGUCGAGACUGCUUCUAACUGUCGCAAGACAAUAACGUGCAUACAUUUGUGCAUGUCAUUUGACCUCAAAUCAGGUAGGACUACCCGCUGAACUUAAGCAUAUCAAUAAGCGGAGGA